rnacentral:rRNA from 1 species
UGAGCAACCUGCCCCUGGCUCUGGGAUAACUCCGGGAAACCGGAGCUAAUACCGGAUACGAGACCGAUUGGCAUCUUUACGGUCUGGAAAGUUUUUCGGCCAGGGAUGGGCUCGCGGCCUAUCAGCUUGUUGGUGGGGUAACGCCCACCAAGGCGACGACGGGUAGCCGGCCUGAGAGGGCGACCGGCCACACUGGGACUGAGACACGGCCCAGACUCCUACGGGAGGCA